UCAUAAUAACUUCUCGAAUCGCAUGGGCCUUGUGCGGGUGAUGCUUCAUUCAAAUAUCUGCCCUAUCAACUUUCGAUGGUAGGAUAGAGGCUACCAUGGUUUCAACGGGUAACGGGGAAUAAGGGUUCGAUUCCGGAGAAGGGAGCCUGAGAAACGGUACCACAUCCAAGGAAGGCAGCAGGCGCGCAAAAUUACCCAAUCCCGACACGGGGAGGUAGUGACAAUAAAUAACAAUACAGGGCUCUUUUGGGUCCUGUAAUUGGAAUGAGUACAAUUUAAAUCCCUUAACGAGGAACAAUUGGAGGGCAAGUCUGGUGCCAGCAGGCCGCGGUAAUUCCAGCUCCAAUUAGCGUAUAUUAAGUUGUUGCAGUUAAAAAAGCUCGUAGUUGAACUUCAGGCCCUGGCCGGGGCGGUCUGCCCUCAACCGGUAUGUACUGUCUGGCUGGGGCUUACCUUCUGGUGAGCUUGCAUGCCGUUUGUCGGUGUGUGAGGGAACCAGGACUUUUACCUUGAGAAAAAUUAGAGUGUUCAAAGCAGAGGCAAAUGCCCCGAAUACAUUAGCAUGGAUAAUGGAAUAGGACGUGCGGUUCUAUUAGUGGUUUCUAGAGUCGCCGUAAUGAUUAAUAGGGACAGUUGGGGGCAUCUAGUAUCGAGUUGCUAGAGGUGAAAAUUCUUUGGAUUUACUC
rnacentral:rRNA from 1 species